UAAUACGGAGGGUGCAAGCGUUGUUCGGAAUUAUUGGGCGUAAAGCGAGUGUAGGCGGUUAGGUAAGUCAAGUGUGAAAUCCCGAGGCCCAACCUCGGAACUGCACUCGAUACUACUUGACUAGAGUCCCGGAGAGGGUGGCGGAAUUCCCGGUGUAGGGGUGAAAUCCGUAGAUAUCGGGAGGAACACCAGUGGCGAAGGCGGCCACCUGGACGGUGACUGACGCUGAGACUCGAAAGCGUGGGGAGCGAACAGGAUUAGAUACCCUGGUAGUCCACGCCGUAAACGUUGAGUGCUCGUCGUCGUGGGUAUUGACCCCUGCGGUGACCAAGCUAACGCUAGAAGCACUCCGCCUGGGGAGUACGGUCGCAAGACUA
rnacentral:rRNA from 1 species